AUGGCGGCGCUGGCCGCCGCCGCCGCUUUUGCCGGCCUCCUCCUCGCCCUUGUUCCCGUGGUCGGGGCCGAUACCGACGCCGCCGGCGCUGCGGCUCUGGGGAACCUCUACACCUCCUGGAACAGCCCGGCUCAGCUCGUCGGCUGGUCGGCGGCCGGCGGCGGCGACCCCUGCGGCGCCGCCUGGAUGGGCGUCUCCUGCUCUGGCUCCGCCAUCACCUCAAUCAACCUUUCUGGUAUGGGAUUGAAUGGCACUCUUGGCUACCUACUGUCCAGUCUAGUGGCACUGACAACGAUGGACUUGAGUAACAACAGCUUGCAUGAUGUAAUUCCGUAUCAGCUGCCACCAAAUCUUAUCCAUCUGAAUUUGGCGAGAAAUAAUUUUUCCGGCAACAUCCCAUACUCUAUAUCCAACAUCUUAUCACUUGGCUACCUCAAUGUCAGUCACAACUCUCUGUUCCAGGAAAUCGGCGAACUAUUUGGGGGCCUCAAUUCGCUUUCUGUAUUGGAUUUAUCUUUCAACAACUUGUCAGGAAAUCUUCCAGUUUCUUUUGUCUCUUUGUCAAAUCUUUCUAGACUCUAUAUGCAAAACAAUCAAUUAUCAGGCACAGUCAAUGUCCUCAGCAACCUAAGCCUUACUACACUAAAUAUAGCAAACAACAACUUCAGCGGCUUGAUACCCGAGGAACUCAGCUCGAUUCCAGACUUGAGCGCUGGAGGGAACUCAUUUAUCAAUAUGCCUGCAUCUCCACCACGGAUUAUCAUGCCACCAUCUCAGAGUCCGGUUGCUCAGCCCGACCGUCCUCAAGUACCGACAACUUUUCCAAAUGGCCCUGAGGAUGAGAUGCCUAUCGACGAAGGUGACAAGAAGCAAGGCCGGCAAACAGGUCUUCUUGUAGGGUUGGCUGUUGGAUCAGUGGCUGCUGCUUCAUGCAUACUUUUCGCGCUGGUGUUCUGCCUUCACAGUGUCCAUAAAAGAAAGGAUGGUGAUACCGGUGAACCGAAAGACUUCGUAGGUGCUCUUGCAGUAAACAUAGACAGAGAUUAUAACAACAACACCCAUCAAGACUCUCCUGUCGCAGCUUCAGUGCUCCCGCGGCCUAUUGGCACUCCUGAGAGGGCGUAUGGUGUAAAUAGUUCUCCAGCAAAGAAGAUAAAGGUUCCUGGUGCGGCGACUUCUUAUACUGUUGCUUCGCUCCAAGUUGCUACAAACAGCUUCUGUCAAGAUACCCUACUAGGUGAGGGUUCACUUGGUCGUGUUUACAGAGCUGAUUUCCCCAAUGGAAAGGUGCUUGCGGUGAAGAAGAUAGACAGUGCUUCCCUUUCUUUGUAUGAAGAGGAUCAUUUUCUUGAGGUUGUAUCGAACAUUUCUCGGCUUAGGCACCCGAACAUCGUGUCGCUUACGGGCUACUGCGCUGAUCAUGGCCAAAGGCUUCUUGUAUAUGAGCAUAUCGGAAAUGGAACACUGCAUGAUAUGUUGCACUAUUCCGAUGAAGCGAGCAAGAACCUUACAUGGAACGCCCGCGUGAGGAUAGCGCUAGGCACCGCUCGAGCUUUGGAGUACCUGCAUGAGGUGUGCUUGCCCUCUGUUGUACAUAGAAACCUCAAGUCAUCAAAUAUCCUGCUUGAUGAAGAGUGCAGCCCACAUCUGUCUGACGCCGGGCUUGCUGCCUUCUCACCAAAUCCUGAGAGAGAGGUUUCAACUGAGGUGCUUGGCUCACUUGGAUACAGUGCCCCAGAAUUUGCCAUGUCAGGAACAUAUACUGUAAAGAGUGACGUGUACAGUUUUGGAGUAGUGAUGUUAGAGCUACUUACGGGCCGUAAGCCGCUAGACAGAUCCAGGGAGAGGUCAGAGCAGUCCCUUGUCGGGUGGGCAACCCCGCAGCUUCACGACAUCGAUGCGCUUGCCAAGAUGGUUGACCCAGCAAUGGAUGGGAUGUACCCUGCAAAAUCUCUCUCCCGUUUCGCCGACAUAAUCGCGUUGUCUGUCCAGCCGGAACCGGAGUUCCGUCCACCGAUCUCCGAGGUCGUCCAGCAACUUGUGCGUCUGAUGCAGAGGGCUAGCAUGUUAAGACGGCAAUCGGGAGACGACCUAGGGUCUUCGUACCGUGCCCCGGAGCGCGAAGGAGGCGCGUGGGACGCCGUCUGA
rnacentral:rRNA from 1 species